CAAUUAAAUCUCUUUUAUUAUGAAUUACUCAGUCUCAGGUAUUUCUUUAUAGCAGUGUAAGAACAGACUAAUACAGAGACUGAACCAAAGAUAAGUAUCUUAUGGUGAUCUUUUUGAUUUUUUUUUUUUUUUUUUUUUUUUUUUUUUUUUUUUUUUUUUUUUUUUUUUUUUUUUAUUUUUUCUU
rnacentral:lncRNA from 1 species